UUAGCCUUGCAGGUGCUGCCUAACUGAAACAAAAAGGGUCAUCACAUCACCCUUUGAGAGAUGGAAUCAGUCAGUGUCAUGCGACUCCUAUCUAUUCUCCUCACUCGCCUCAGCUCAAACCUUAGAGAUUCUAUGCAAAAAAGUCUAGGCGUCAGUUUUCUGCUGCUGCUCCAUUGUCUGUUGUUUAGCACCAUCUCGAUCUCUUAUUCUUAUUCAGAUUUGGGAAACAGCGUGCUAUCAGAUUCUUUAACUGUUUUAGAUUCAGAAUAGCCCAAUUGAAAUUGGAGGAGUUCAUCGAGGAAUUGCAUUUGCCUAAUCUACUAGUUGCUACCGAAGAGGAGGAGGGAGGAUAUCACUUGAUCGAGGCUGAGUCCUUCAUUCUGUCUGGAUGCUAUUAAGUGAAGGGUUUUGGGUUUGAUUGUAUAAUGGUAAAUGCUUCUAAAGACUAUAACUUUAGGGUGUGAGCAUUGUUUGUAUUUACUCUUGGAUUUAUAAUUUGGGGCUUUGUUCAAUACUAAGUUCUUUGUUCAAUUUGGUGAUGGGGAUUUGCUUAAAGCUGAUAACUUUUGAAUGAAGCAGCAGCUGAUGAUGGAUGAAAGUAAUGGUUAAGCAGUUAGCGUUAAGGUGGUAGUAGCAAUAAGUAUAUGUAUGUCAAAUUGAAAUUGAACUUGAUAAAUAAGGAGUAUUUUGAAUUUAACAAAGAAUAUACCGAGGCCAAGAACUUGGCUAGUUCAUAUCGGGAGGAGGCUGCCGAGGAAGUGGCUGAGAAGAUAGAGAGGAAGUUGAUUCUUCUUGGUGCUACUGCAGUUGAAGAAAAACUUUAAAAUGGGCAUGUUCUGAGACAGUCAGCAAAAUUUUCACUGAGAAUUACAGUUGCAUGUUCUAUUCCAAUGUUCAUUUGUUGCCAAGUGAAAGGACAUUGGUAGAGAUUUUGUAUAAUAACACCAAAUAUCAUUGCCAUGCACACUCUUUUGAUUAUCCCCUCAAAGGGAAUGUUAUCUUCCUAAUGUUUUUUUAUAUUACUGAAUUACGUAAUCUGUUAUUUUAAAGUUGCAUAGGGAAUCCCGACUCUGGAACAUGCAAAGCUCAAGGCUAGGGUGGAGGUUUUACAUCAAUGAUACCUACCAAUUUUGUUAAAUAAGAAAGUAUUUGUGUUUUUGUUAGGUUGUGAUAAAUAACAUUACAUUUUACCUGUUCGUAUUUGCAGUCAUUUUAUGGAGCAGCAACUUGAUUUUGCUCUGAAGCACAUGAGGUCUAGAAAGAUCUUCAGAAUUUGGAGCAGCAACUUGAUUUUGCUCUGAAGCACAUGAGGUCUAGAAAGAAUCAACUCAUGUACGAAUCCAUUCAGUGCUUCAGAAGAAAGUGAGAAAAGACAUUUAAUUUCUGUAUACAUGUAAUAAAAAUGUGCAUAUAUAUAAUUUCAAAUUUAUGAUGGAUUGGAUUUGUUUUCCAUGACAGGAUAAGGCGUUGCAAGAGCAAAAUAAUUCUUUAUCUUUUAAUACACUUUAUGAUCUUUUUAUCUGAUUCAAAGUGGAUAUUGAUCUUAUUCAGUUACAUCUUAAAGGUCAACUCUGAGUAAGUUUGAGCUUGGAGGUUUGGGUGGUUUUGGGUGAAAUAGAGGAAAAAAGAAAAUUAAAAAAAAAUAUAUAUAUAUAUAUAUAUAUAUAUAUCUUGCUCCUCUUUCUCUAAUUAUUAAUAUGAUGUAUUUGGUAGCUUCAAUUUUCUUUUUAUUUUUCUUUUCUCUUCUGCUUAGGUGGAAGCUGCUGUUUUUGCCCAAGCUUUUGUUAGUUCUUUCACCACAGAUUUUUUUUAUUGCAUUAACAAACCAAUGAAUUGAAAGUGAUUGUGUGCUGGGAUUAUUGCCUUAAAAAUCUUGCUCCCUUUUUUUUCCCCCCAAGAUCACUAUUGUUAUGAAGCAGAUACAUGUUUUUAUCUGCUGCUGGUUUUUCAGAUGCAAUCAAAAACCAUGUAUUUACUAUCAGAUUCAUGCAUAAGAACCAUAUUUCUCAUAUGGAUAUCGUUUGCUCUCGAUUAGUGAACUAAUCAGUUACGUGUUUUUGCGGGAUUUUUGGUUUUCGGAUAAGAUUUUGUCCUGCUUCUCCCCAAAAAUGAGUUAGAUUCAUCAGGUUGAUGAAUUUCAAAAACAAAUUUGCUCUCUGUUUUCUUAAGUAAUCAGGUACUGAUUGUAGAUCAGGUCCCCCCCUCACAUCUUUUCCCAGUAUUGUAUUUGAUUAUCUUUGGCCUUAUAUUUGACUUCCCUACUCCCCAGCUUGCAAGUGAAACACUGAUCACAUUAUCUCAGUAUCCGAUUUUAGUUUAUUGUUGAUAAAAGUCAUGCAACCAUUCAAAAAAAAAAAAGUCAUGCAAUUGGCAUGGUACACCUAAUUGCUGCUACUCCAACUUGGCUUAUCGUUUCUAUUUGCUGGUGUUCAUAAGGGGUGUUAUUUUGAAAACAGGCUUCCUUAUUUUUGAAAACAGGCUUUCUUAUUCUUUCAAGUGCUAAACCUUGGUGAUAUUUUCAUUCAAUAUCUGGCCUGAACCGAAACUUAGCAACUAGCUUUCAUUGUCUAACAAUGGCAUUUAUAGUUGGUACUAACUUACUAAACAAUUGACAUUCAACAUUGAUUUUGAUCUUGGAUUUAAAGUGAUUAAUUGUUUCAGGUAAUGCUGCUAGAGCAUCACCACGCCUCAAUUUCAAGUGACAGCCCCACAAAUGAGAAAAAUGUAGCAGACUAUGAAGAAAUCAACUGAAGACAAAUCAGAGGACUUAAUGUGGAAUAGAUGGUUCACAUUACAUAGAACACUUGCGCCAAGCCCAUCCUUUUUUUUUUUUGCAGUAUGUAUGUAUCUGGUUAACAUAACAGAUUUUUGAAUCUGUAAAAGAUACUUCAUGGUUCAGACGUUUGUAUUUGUUGUAGUUAAACAUAUAACAUAUCCGCAGCAUCGUGCGGGGUUGAUUGCAUCGCUCGCUUGCGUGGGUUUGAUUUCUGUUGUUGUGGCCAAGGCCAAUACCCACAGCAUUCA